rfam:Brachypodium distachyon strain Bd21 chromosome 1, whole genome shotgun sequence.
GAGUUACUCACUCCGUCCAACAAAAGAUGUCUCAAGUUUGUCAAAAUUUGGAUGUAUCUAGACAUGACUUAGUGUAUAGAUGCAUUGAAAUUUAGUUAAAGUUGAGAUAUUCUUUGUUGGACUGAGGGAGUAUUUG